CGUUACGAUUUAUCUACCAAAAAGUUUGUUCCUAUCUUUCUCCUCUCUUGGUAUAUCAAUAAGAUGAGAACUCUUCUGCUAUUCUGAGGCAGUUGUGGGAGGAACAAUUCAAGUCCCAACUCUAUGGCGAGGAAUAUUUUCGUGGAACAAAUGAUGGCAUUGAGGAGUGCUCUUCUUGAUGAAUUUUAAGCAAAUACAAGACCAGUUCAGGGCUUACAUAGAAGACCAGUGUAUGUAGCUAUGUAAGAAAGACCAAAAAUUGAUGAAUUAUUAAUCUUCAAAUUAAAUAAUGGCUUGUAAAUUUAUCAUGAGAAUCACUGUGAUGUUGUACUGUGAUGCCACAGCUUAUUUUGAGGGCUUUUUUGUUCUUGAGUUGCAAUAUCCCAUGGUUCAAUUCUAUACGUAUGCUGAGAAGAACAUGGGAGAGUUAAGAGGGUAUUUACACCAUUAGUGUUGGCAUGUGAUGUUGUGUCUACAUGAGGGGUUGUAAUAGAAAGUGGUUUUAUUCUAUAUAAGAUAGUGAAUCUAGAUAGCAAUAGUUGUUAAUCCAUCUUUUUUGUCGCGAUAUCUAC